AACGAACGCUGGCGGCAGGCCUAACACAUGCAAGUCGAGCGAGGACUUCGGUCCUAGCGGCGGACGGGUGAGUAACGCGUGGGAACGUGCCCUUUGCUUCGGAAUAGCCCUGGGAAACUGGGAGUAAUACCGGAUGAGCCCUUUGGGGGAAAGAUUUAUCGGCGAAGGAUCGGCCCGCGUUGGAUUAGGUAGUUGGUGGGGUAAUGGCCUACCAAGCCGACGAUCCAUAGCUGGUUUGAGAGGAUGAUCAGCCACACUGGGACUGAGACACGGCCCAGACUCCUACGGGAGGCAGCAGUGGGGAAUCUUAGACAAUGGGGGAAACCCUGAUCUAGCCAUGCCGCGUGAGCGAUGAAGGCCUUAGGGUUGUAAAGCUCUUUCAGCUGGAAAGAUAAUGACGGUACCAGCAGAAGAAGCCCCGGCUAACUCCGUG
rnacentral:rRNA from 1 species